GUGUGGCUCAGUGGUAGAGGGCAUGCUUAGCAAGCAUAAGGCCCUGGGUUCAAUUCCCAGGACACACA
rnacentral:tRNA from 1 species